AAGACCUUGCACUUUUGGAGCGGCCGAUGUCUGAUUAGCUAGUUGGUGGGGUAAUGGCCUACCAAAGCUUCGAUCAGUAGCUGGUCUGAGAGGACGGCCAGCCACACUGGGACUGAGACACGGCCCAGACUCCUACGGGAGGCAGCAGUGGGGAAUUUUGGGCAAUGGGCGCAAGCCUGAUCCAGCCAUGCCGCGUGAGUGAAGAAGGCCUUCGGGUUGUAAAGCUCUUUCAGUCGGGAAGAAAAGGUUGCGACUAAUAAUCGCAAUUCAUGACGGUACCGGAAGAAGAAGCACCGGCUAACUACGUGCCAGCAGCCGCGGUAAUACGUAGGGUGCGAGCGUUAAUCGGAAUUACUGGGCGUAAAGGGUGCGCAGGCGGUUUUGUAAGUCAGAUGUGAAAUCCCCGGGCUUAACCUGGGAACU
rnacentral:rRNA from 1 species